AACGCACCUUGCGCCCCUUGGCAUUCCGAGGGGCACGCCUGUUUGAGUGUCGUGAACUCCUCCACCCUCUAUCUUUUUCGGAAGGCAUUGGGCUGGGAUUUGGGAGCUUGCGGGUCCCUGGCUGAUCCGCUCUCCUUGAAUACAUUAGUGGAGCCCUUGCGGCCUUGGUGUGAUAGUCAUCUACGCCUCGGCUUAGCGAACUUACCGGGACUCGCUUCCAACCGUCUUGCAAGAGACAACUACUACCAACUUGACCUCAAAUCAGGCGGGACUACCCGCUGAACUUAA
rnacentral:misc_RNA from 1 species